UCACUUGAAUAACACAAACUUAUUACCCAAAUAAUAAAAAAUAAAAAAAAGAGGACCAAAUAUGUUGUUCCCACAUCUUCCUCUUACCCUAUUCUUCUGUUUCUGCCUGUUUUUCUCGUUUUCAUAUGCUCAUUACAAGCCCCCUUGUGAUUGUUCCUCUGCUCAUAACAAUAGCCAUGAAAACAUUCCCACUAACCCUGGUAAUUCAUUCCCUGCUCAUAACAACAGCCACGAAAAUAUUCCAACCAAGCCUGGAAAUUCUUUCCCUGCUCAAAACAACAGCCAUGAAAAUAUUCCAACCAAGCCUGGAAAUUCUUUCCCUGCUCAAAACAACAGCCAUGAAAAUAUUCCAACCAAGCCUGGAAAUUCUUUCCCUGCUCAAAACAACAGCCAUGAAAAUAUUCCAACCAAGCCUGGAAAUUCUUUCCCUGCUCAAAACAACAGCCAUGAAAUUCCCAGUAACUCUUCCCCUGCUCUAAAUAACAGCCAUGAAAUUCCAACCAAGCCUGGUAAUUCAUUCCCACCUCAUAAUAACAGCCAUGAAUUUCCCACCAAGCCUGG
rnacentral:lncRNA from 1 species